UCCCUAGUGGCUCAGUUGGUAAAGAAUCUGCCUGCAAUGCAGGAGCCCCGGGUUUGAUCCCCGGGUUGGGAA
rnacentral:tRNA from 1 species